UGCGUAGGCGGGGCAAUUAGUCAGUGGUGAAAUCCUGCGGCUUAACCGUAGAACUGCCAUUGAUACUGUUGUCCUUGAGUAUAGUUGAGGUGGGCGGAAUGUGUAAUGUAGCGGUGAAAUGCAUAGAGAUUACACAGAACACCAAUUGCGAAGGCAGCUCACUAAGCUAUAACUGACGCUGAGGCACGAAAGCGUGGGGAGCGAACAGGAUUAGAUACCCUGGUAGUCC
rnacentral:rRNA from 1 species